AAUGAAAUAGGACGUGUGGUUCUAUUUUGUUGGUUUCUAGGACCGCCGUAUGAUUAAUAGGGACAGUCGGGGGCAUCAGUAUUCAAUUGUCAGAGGUGAAAUUCUUGGAUUUAUUGAAGACUAACUACUGCGAAAGCAUUUGCCAAGGAUGUUUUCAUUAGUCAGGAGCGAAAGUUAGGGGAUCGAAGACGAUCAGAUACCGUCGUAGUCUUAACAUAAACUAUGCCGAUUAGGGAUUGGACGGCGUUAUUUUUUGACCCGUUCGGCACCUUACGAUAAAUCAAAAUGUUUGGGCUCCUGGGGGAGUAUGGUCGCAAGGCUGAAACUUAAAGGAAUUGACGGAAGGGCACCACCAGGGGUGGAGCCUGCGGCUUAAUUUGACUCAACACGGGGAAACUCACCAGGUCCAGACACGAUGAGGAUUGACAGAUUGAGAGCUCUUUCUUGAUUUCGUGGGUGGUGGUGCAUGGCCGUUCUUAGUUGGUGGAGUGAUUUGUCUGCUUAAUUGCGAUAACGAACGAGACCUUAACCUGCUAAAUAGCUCGUAUUGUUUUGGCAGUACGCUGGCUUCUUAGAGGGACUAUCGACUCAAGCCGAUGGAAG
rnacentral:rRNA from 1 species